rnacentral:misc_RNA from 1 species
AUUAUUAUCACACUUAGAUAAUUUUUUAUACAACUCCCUCUUUCUCUUCACUGCUUUUUGUACUUCCUCAUUCCACCACUAUCUCUUUUUUAAGGGUGAUCCAUGUCUUCUAAACUCUCCAAGUACUUUUCUAACUAUAUAUGAAUACAAAACUCUAUUUUUCAGUUUUCUUCAAAAACUUUUUUCAAAUAACUACCUCAGUUUCCUGCAAGUGAACAGGGCCUUAAGUUUGUAAAAUUACUUGGUAUUACUAGGUGAAGGCAGAAGAUCAAAUUUGAACAUGUAACUACCAAAAAUAACACAUUCCAUUUAAAGGUCAAAAAGGAGAUUGAUCGUACUGCUAAGUUCAACUUUACUACGUACGUCUAAGCAGAAGUUCAUUACCUUGAAAAGAUUGUUUAAGUUUUAUUUUGAUUAGUGAGAAAGCUCCCUAUAAUUCAAUUCAAAAAAUUACCUACAUAUGUAAGAGGGGUGCUAAUAUUGGAACCUCAAUGAACUCAAUGCCAGCUCCCAUUGCAUAUCUACUUCAAGUGGAAAAAUAAUGUCCAAUAAAGUUCAAUCACCAUCCAAAUGUUGAAAAAAAAAGAAGUCAACGCAACUAACUAUUGCUCCAUCUUACUUUGGUACCAGCCGGCAUGUCACU